rnacentral:rRNA from 1 species
UACGAAGGGGGCUAGCGUUGCUCGGAAUCACUGGGCGUAAAGGGUGCGUAGGCGGGUCUUUAAGUCAGGGGUGAAAUCCUGGAGCUCAACUCCAGAACUGCCUUUGAUACUGAGGAUCUUGAGUUCGGGAGAGGUGAGUGGAACUGCGAGUGUAGAGGUGAAAUUCGUAGAUAUCGGGAGGAACACCGGUGGCGAAGGCGGGUCUCUGGACAAUUCCUGACGCUGAGGCGCGAAAGCGUGGGGAGCAAACGGG